rnacentral:rRNA from 1 species
GACGAACGCUGGCGGCGUGCUUAACACAUGCAAGUCGAGCGGUAAGGCCCUUUCGGGGGUACACGAGCGGCGAACGGGUGAGUAACACGUGGGUGACCUGCCCUCAGCUCUGGGAUAAGCCUGGGAAACCGGGUCUAAUACCGGAUAUGACUCCAUGACGCAUGUUGUGGGGUGGAAAGCCUUGUGCGGCUGAGGAUGGGCCCGCGGCCUAUCAGCUUGUCGGUGGGGUGANGGCCUACCAAGGCGACGACGGGUAGCCGGCCUGAGAGGGCGACCGGCCACACUGGGACUGAGACACGGCCCAGACUCCUACGGGAGGCAGCAGUGGGGAAUCUUGCGCAAUGGGCGAAAGCCUGACGCAGCGACGCCGCGUGAGGGAUGACGGCCU